UACGGAGGGUGCGAGCGUUGUCCGGAAUCACUGGGCGUAAAGGGCGCGUAGGUGGCGCGGGCAGUCAACGGUGAAAGUUCGGGGCUCAACCCUGAAUCGGCCGUCGAUACUCCCGGGCUUGAGCACUGUAGAGGCAGAUGGAAUUCCGGGUGUAGCGGUGGAAUGCGUAGAGAUCCGGAGGAACACCGAUGGCGAAGGCAGGUCUCUGGGCCGAUACUGACGCUGAGGAGCGAAAGCGUGGGGAGCGAACAGG
rnacentral:rRNA from 1 species